rnacentral:rRNA from 1 species
AUGUGUUCACUCCCUUUUAAAUGUGUGAAACAUGAUCUGCAGCAAAAUUUUCCCAUUUCUGUGUUCCAAACAUGCCCUCUUUUCCUGUCUGUGCAUGUCCUCCUUUACUACACCAUUAAAUUUUUACUGGUUCUUUUGGCAGUGAUGCACAUUGAAGUCGGAAGUUAUCAAUAUCUUUUCUACUGUUUUGGCACAGCACAGCAGCUGCUAACUGGCCUCAAAGAUUACAAUUUGGAUGUGUUCUUCCUUUGCCCUGCGGCGGCGAGGGGAGAGGGAGGGCAAGGGGCCGAGGACCGGCGGCGAGGGAGGGGGAAGGGGAGCCAAAGGGAAAGUGUUAGAUUGAGCGAGUCAUUCCAAGUGGCAUGCGAGCAGCUAGCAUGGGAGCUGGCACCGCCUUUAGGUUCAGUCAGGACUUACAAACACAAAUCUCAACCUGGAAUUAUCUCUAUCUCUAUCUUCUCUUCUCUAUACUACUUAAAAAGAAUGUAA